rnacentral:rRNA from 1 species
GAUGAACGCUAGCGAUAGGCUUAACACAUGCAAGUCGAGGGGCAGCAUGGUCUUAGCUUGCUAAGACUGAUGGCGACCGGCGCACGGGUGCGUAACGCGUAUGCAACUUGCCUCACAGAGGGGGAUAACCCGUCGAAAGACGGACUAAUACCGCGUACACUCCAUCUUGGGCAUCCAAGGUAGAGGAAAUGAAAUUCGCUGUGAGAUAGGCAUGCGUCCCAUUAGCUAGUUGGUGAGGUAACGGCUCACCAAGGCGACGAUGGGUAGGGGAACUGAGAGGUUGAACCCCCACACUGGUACUGAGACACGGACCAGACUCCUACGGGAGGCAGCAGUGAGGAAUAUUGGUCAAUGGGCGAGAGCCUGAACCAGCCAAGUCGCGUGAAGGAUGACUGUCUUAUGGAUUGUAAACUUCUUUUAUACGGGAAUAACAAGAGUCACGUGUGACUCCCUGCAUGUACCGUAUGAAUAAGCAUCGGCUAACUCC